UUCACAUAAAAAAUGUCGCACUUUCCUCGAGCCAGCUGAGAGCCCGGCUGGUAAAAAAAAUCUACCACCACCUGUAAGAAGACGAAUUGAAUUUUGAAUUUUUGAUGAAAAACGAGUACUGAGGAAGGUGUCACAUUAUGGCGUCGACAAAGCCUUCCACGACGCCCAACAUUUUGGCCACCUUGGUCACCAAAUCAGUCUGGAAAUCUGAAGAGCUGGCAGACCUUCUGGCACAAGAAGUUGGGAGACGAGAUAAGCUACAAGAAUUGAAAAUAGCUGCAGAGAAGGAAGCCGCUAGAUUAAAGAUGGAAGGGAACUGCGAUCUACAAGAAGAGGUCGAAUAUUUGCAGAGUUCCUUCAACAAAGUAAAAGUCCUAGUCACUCGAAUGGCAAAGGAAAAGUUGCCGAAUCGUUGGGAGAACUUGGAAUUUUAUCAAAAUGUUGCAAAAGUUGAGGAAUUGGAAAAGUGCAAGAGAUACAUGAUGGUGUUGGAUUUCUAUACUACAACGUCAGAGAAGAUUGGCGAUAAUAUGGAGUCCGAUCUCGAAAUGGAUGCUAUCGAGUUGUUUCACAGAGUGAAGGAGAUUGAAAAUGUCUAUGUUGGAGUUGGCGACUGCGAGCAUCUGCGAACACUUGGGGCUGGAAUUGUGUCGUAUUGGUCGGCCAAGUUUGCACAGAAAUUGGGCCGGGACUUUGAGCAAUUAUUCGAAGCGUUUGGUUGGCCACUGAGACUUAAAACGGCAAUUCCCACGUUGGAAACGCAUGAAAAACUACGUCGAGCUAUUACAAGCUUUGCAAGAGUAAACGCCAAACCCGUAAGAGACAGUACAAAUGAAUUGGAAGAGACGCCUAAUUCGAAAUUUGAUCCGAUCCUACCAGUUCAGGUCCUGAUGGCGCCUUUGAAACGUAGAUUUCGUUUCCAUUUUCUAAGCGAUAAGCCAACUAGUGAAUCGUCAAAGCCUGAGUGGUAUUUCUCUCAAGUUAAACAGUGGGUAUUCGACCUUGUGCCUUUCGUGAAAACACAUCUAGAACAAAUCACCGUCUCAGAAAUGGGAAUCUCGUGCAUCAUUGAAUUCGUUCGAUGUGUAUCAGACAUGCUUAUCCUUAAGGUUGACGCUCAUCUCCAAGAUGAUUUUCGAGACGGCGUAUUUGUCAAAAUACUUGAAGAGUCGAUUGCAUUCGAAAAUGAAAUUGGGGAUUUUGUUGCUGAAUGUGUUGACUCACAAUCUAAGAGUUAUCUGCCCGCUUUUGUCAAUGCUGUCUUUUCCCGACCAGAAACGUUGCAACGCUGGGUGCAAGCUGAAAAGUUAGCUUCCCUGGAAAAACUGGAUGACAUGUUUAGCUCAGAAUCUGCUUGGAGCAAGCCCAUUGCUGCGGGACCACCGGAAAUUGUAGAUUUGUUUGUAGCUGUGAUUCGUAGUUUAACCGAUCGAUUCGCACAUCUCCAGCAUCGUGCACAGCGUUUAAAAUUUCUUCACUUGUUGAACGAUUUACUAGACGAAUUUCAUGUACGCUCGCUUCAAACAUGGAAGUGCAAGUCGGAUAUUAACGAAUAUUUGCCAAACGAUACUCCAAUCGACUAUGUUAUCGCUGAUGCGUUGUACAGUAUUCAUGACACUCUUCAGGAAUGGGAGUAUUUACCUUUCUUUGCGUCAAUGUCCGUCAGAAAUCCUAACGAGGAUAUUAUUUCGAAUGCCGCUAUAUAUGCUACUGCCAUGGACCUUUCACCACGUCGCCAAUCUUCAAGCAGCACCAACUUUGUACCCAUGAUUUCAUACGGAAGCGAUUCCGCACCAGAAUCUCCUGAUUUUCAGCCCGGAAACCUUUUCGAAAAUGCGUGCGGAUUAUACUGGUGUUUGGCAAAUGAAAUUCAAACAAAAUGGUGCACCCAAGUAAUCCGUCGAGUCAAAGAAGAUAUCCAUAAAUAUGCUCAGAUAAAAUGGCAAUCGUUUGAUUGUACAACGACGCCUGAACGUUUAACAGAUCAGCUUUUCCCCGCUCUGCAGACGCUCAAAGACACAUGGAAAACUCUCUUUAAUAGCAUGGAUCCUAAGAAUGCGGAUAAAUGGAUGAAAAAGCUGGCUGUUAAGGUCGAUGAGGUUUUAAUGGACGUGGUCAUACUGCCAAACCAAUUUUCUCGUGCUGGUGUAUCUCAGCUAGAGUUUGACUGCACCACUGGAAUCUUACCAAUAUUUAGCGACAACGGUGUCAACUGUAAAAUUUUCUUUGGCAGCGUCUCCUCCGCGUUGAUAAUACUGCAACUGAGCACGGGGGAAGCAAUGCUGCUUUAUGACACGUUGCAGAGUGAAAAUUUUGAAGACCGUGAGCUUGCCUUAACUGAGUUGGACGUCACCAUUUGUCAGUCGGAAGUGAUUAAAGUAAUAAAAAGUCGUUGUGAUCUUCGCAUUUAAUUACUUAAACUUUGUUUUCAUAUAUACAAAAAUAACAAGCCUUAAUUUGACUAAUUUAAAGAGUUGUGCUACCACAAAGUCACUAUACAUUUACGAAUUAUUUAGAUUAGCUCUCCUUAUUGUAAUUAUUUAGAUUUGUACCAUUUUUAUGCAACGGUAAAUGUAUGUAAAAGUAUUUUUUUGGAAUAAAGUAAUCAAGUUUCAUUCAAGCAUCAGUCUUGUCUUGUUAGUAAGAUUUUGAGUAAAGAAAAAAAUAAGUAAGAUAUUCAUAAAUCAAUUCUCGUACAAGUAAUGAACAAAUUGCAUCGACAUAAUAAUAAGAAAAUCUGCAUAAAUACAAAUCGGCUAACAAUUAUAAACUGAAAGUUCCAAAGGCGAGUGACCAAAAAAUUGUUUGAAUAAAUCAAGAAAUAAAUAAGAUAACAAACAGAA